CAGACUGCCUGAAGUUACAUUUAGAGACUGAAAUCACUGCACCUUAAAAACAAAAGAUUGAGCUGCACUGUAUUCCUGAAUUUUGAAUGAAGAAAAAGCUUUUGUAAGAGGGAGGAAGCUUAUCUAAUCUCUUCAAGACUGAUGAGAAGCAAUCAGGAGCUUGUGAAUCUUUGAAACAGUAAAUUUCUAGGGAAUUGGGCACACGUUUCUCAGGAACAAUAAAGAGUGUUACACUUCAGGUUGGCUCUAAAUGCACCCCUUCAUGUAUCCCAAAAGGCAAUUUGAAAGCACCGUUCUCUGAGUCAACUGGAAAAGGGAGGAAGCCAUGCUGAGCUGAGAUUCUUUCAGGGGGUCAAGAGACACUGAAUACAGAAUGAAGAUCACUCUUCUGAUUACUGUCGAAUUCUCAGUUAUAACCUUUUAUAAUAAAAUGUCUUCAAAGAUGUAGGAAAAUAAAUUGGCUCAGACAAGAGAGUUACUGGAUAUUAGAAGAUUUAGAUUUUUGACAAGGUCUUCUACUUGUUUGCAAAUGUACUAUCUUGACCAUAUAAAAUUUGCCUAACCUUUGCU
rnacentral:sRNA from 1 species